rnacentral:rRNA from 1 species
UACGUAGGGGGCAAGCGUUGUCCGGAAUUACUGGGCGUAAAGGGCGCGUAGGCGGUUCGCUAAGUUGGAUGUGAAAACUCUGGGCUCAACCCAGAGCCUGCAUCCAAAACUGGCGGGCUAGAGUUCUGGAGGGGGUAGCGGAAUUCCUGGUGUAGCGGUGAAAUGCGUAGAUAUCUGGAGGAACACCGGUGGCGAAGGCGGCAUCCUGGACCAAUAUUGACGCUGAGGAGCGAAAGCUAGGGGAGCAAACGGG